AACCGAAAACUUUUAUGUCUAGAAUGGUGCGUUGAUAGAACAUUCCCAUUAACUGAUACUACACCAGAGCGAUAAACAUUCUCUACGGUGACCCAUGGAACCCAGAGGAAUUGGACGCCGAGAUGGUUUAAUAUUCGCAAAUCAUUCAAAUCAACCGGCACAAAUUCUAACUACGGCAAACCAUUUAGCAACGGCGAAACCGUUGAAAUAACAAAGAAAUUAGCAACCAAAGGUAAUGGCGACCAGCAAGGUCAACAGCACUCCUCAUCCAAAAAAGGAGGCUGGCUAACAUGGCGUGGUGUUUUUCUCAAAUGGACACCACUGGGCUUGUGCUUGGUAGCCGCUGCCCAAUGGACAAUGAUUAACGAUGGGCCGAAUGGCAAAGGGCAACCGAGAACCGCUACCGCAUGGCAGACAAAUAUUUAUUGCUCGCUGCCACUCAGACUGAUUAGUCGAGGAUGGGGUUGGCUAGCUGAUUGUCGUGUUCCGAUACCCAUUCGGCCUAUAGUUUAUGGAUGCUAUUCAACGGCAUUCGGUGUAAAUAUCGAAGAAGCUGCUGCGUCCGAUUUCAAGUAAGUAGUCGGCAACCGUAUGGUUAUGGUUCAUACAGAAAUGUAGUAUUUUGACUAUAGAAGUAAAGGAAGACAGUAGUGUACGUCAUUGUAUUUUAAAAUGAUCGUUCGGAAGCAGUUAAGCAUACAUGAAGCAUGCCUACACUGAACGUAGAUUUUUUUUUUAUUUAGACAUUUAACUUUAACGAAGAAAACGUAAAAUUAACAAAUUCUUACAGUUUGUGAUGAGUCAGGUAAAUUAAAUGGCAUUUUUUUGUUGGUGUUUGGUGAUUAUAUACUACUGUAAAAUGCACUUUGUUUUGUUUGUUGGUUUUAAUUUUGGGUGACGGUUGUUUUCUACAUUAGUUUACAAAUCUUCUCUGUCUUGUCAUUGAAAUGGAUUAUGAGGAAAAGUAUUGAACUUAAUACGAAGAAAAGUCUGCUUAAGUUUUAUUAUCCGGGGAGGAGCUAACUCCUCUCCAGCUUUCGUUCUUCGUUUCAAUAUUUCAUAGAAAUCUGCUCUAACCUACCUCAUGCCUUCAUGAUUCAUUUCUCAAAUCAAGACAGAGUCAAAAAUUAAACUGAACCCACAUUGGACAGUUGAUUCGAUAACUAACAAAGGAACAGUUACCAUUCCUUUUCCUAUUAACGUAUCAACUCACUCAUUUUCACCGUUAUUUUUAUUUGCAUCACUACCAUAAACUAACUCCAAUCCAACUCUACCAUUUAGAAAGUAUCGAAGCAUAGCAGAGUUCUUCACACGAUCGUUGAAAGAAGAUGCUCGAACUAUCGACACUAAUAGUUGUUUAGUAUCACCAGCUGACGGAAGAGUAUUACAUUUUGGAUUAGCUACCAACGAACAAGUUGAGCAAGUCAAAGGUGUCACAUACAGUCUUAAAUCAUUCCUAGGACCAGCCAACUGGGAGAAUAAGUCUAGUCCAACUUAUGUGGACACUAUACGAAUAAGGGAUGAUGAGGAAACUGCCAUCUAUCAAUGCAUCAUAUAUCUUGCACCUGGUGAUUACCAUCGUUUCCAUUCGCCAACAAAAUGGACACCGAAGUUGAGACGUCACUUUUCCGGUGAAUUGCUGUCAGUCAGUCCGAAGAUUGCCCACUGGCUACCUGGAUUGUUUAGUUUAAAUGAAAGGGCACUGUACUUAGGUAGAUGGCAACAUGGAUUUUUUAGUUUUGCCGCUGUCGGUGCGACAAAUGUUGGCUCCAUUCAGAUUUACAUGGAUGAGAGCUUGCAAACCAACAAAUGGCAUGGUUUCAAAGUGGGAAAACUUAACAAAACGGAACAUUUUGAUGAGAUCGAACUACCACAAGAUACGAUAUUAGAAAAAGGCCAACUGCUCGGUCAAUUUAAUAUGGGCAGCACAGUAGUUUUGAUAUUUGAAGCUCCAAAGUAUUUUAAAUUUUUCGUCGAACAAGGACAAACAAUUAAAAUGGGCGAGCCGCUUGGUUGUACGAAAAAUCGUAGAAAUUUUGAUGAAAUCAAAAAUGAGAUCGCUGCCGCUUCUUAACCGUUACCAAAAACUCAUUUUUUAGAGAUAUUGCGUAGAUUUGCUGACAAUACGGCCAACUUUAAAUAUUUUUCACAUUUUUAAAGAACUUAGAGAGACCGUUUUGUAUGAACUAAAAACUAGGUUAAGUUGUUUGUAGUGCAUAUUGCACAGAGAAAUCUAUUUAAUCGAGGUCGCCAUCAAUGUUCCACUAUUCACGAUUGAUAAGAAAUGAAUUUGGUGGACAUUGAUGAACCGGAUGGAAGAGAGUUGCCUAUAAAAUAAAAGAAAUUUUAGUUAACGCAUGAUGUGUGAUAAUACCUGCUCAUGUAAAACAACGUUCUAAUAAAGAUGAAAAGUACAAAACUGAAAAA